GUUCAGGUUGGUGGCACAACGUCAGAGUAGCAUCCACAUGAUCGCAGGGCCAAAGUUCUACCAGCAGAACAUUACGGCGUAAUGAGAUGAUCAAUGUUAUUCACUUCACCUGUCAGUGCUUUUAAUGGUGAGGCUGAUUGGUGUGUAAAUCACUCAAUAAAAGCGCUGAAGGGGCGAAUGAGGAAGAAAGUGCUGCAGUGAGAACAACAGCCGCUCUUCAGCAGAGAUGCUAUCGCUGCCGGCUGCAUCACAGAAGUCCCCAGGCAGAGGAGGACCAAGUCUUUAUCUGAAACUUUAAAAAUCCUCCUUUUAGCCGUCUCUUCCUGCCUUCUCAUCUCCCUCUUCGUGAUUUGCCGGGUAGAAUCGAUGACGGAUUGCGGCCUUGUCUGUGAUUUGUGGGUUUUGUCUCUUUUAGAAGGGGAAAAGGCAGUCGGUCCCGGCGGCUUGUGCACUGAAUCUCCAUUUCAAAACGCAGCCAGCGUCGCGUUUGACAUGAACUGACAUCCCAGCAUCUCUCAGCGCAGCACUUCCAAAAGGUGUCGACCCGGAGCUCCGUCAGAGGAAGUUCGGUGGCCGGAUGAAGCGAUAAAACCAACCUGACACCUGAAGAGACAUGAACAUGACCCAAAACGUCCUGCAGGCUGGAAGUGAGAUAAAUAGAAACAGAAAAUGACACAUCCAUCCAUCCAUUAUCUAUACAUCGCUUAGUCCUCAUUAGGGUCAUGGGGGAUGUUGGAGUCUAUCUCAGCUGACUUGGGUCGAAGGCAGGGAACACCCUGGACAGGUCACCAGUCUAUCGCAGGUCUACAUAUACAG
ensembl:lncRNA